UCCGGUUUGUCACCGGCAGUCUCGCAUGAGUCCCCAACUUAAUGCUGGCAACAUGCGACAGGGGUUGCGCUCGUUGCGGGACUUAACCCAACAUCUCGCGACACGAGCUGACGACAGCCAUGCACCACCUGUGAUCCUGCCCCGAAGGGAAGACGUGUUUCCACGCCGGUCAAGGCCAUGUCAAGCCCAGGUAAGGUUCUUCGCGUUGCGUCGAAUUAAACCACAUGCUCCACCGCUUGUGCGGGCCCCCGUCAAUUCCUUUGAGUUUCAGCCUUGCGGCCGUACUCCCCAGGCGGGGCACUUAUCGCGUUAGCUUCGACACGGAGAGGGUCGAUCCCCCCCGCGUCUAGUGCCCAUCGUUUACGGCGUGGACUAC
rnacentral:misc_RNA from 1 species